rnacentral:lncRNA from 1 species
GUUAACGACUUAGACUUUAGAUGAAGUACUCUUCCCACAAGUUCAGGUUUAGAGCAAAUCUUAAUUAAUAACAGUCAUGCCUAAACUUGAGAGAGAUUUCAAUUUUGAGAACUAGUCACGGCAGAGCAACUAUUCAUCAUUUCCAUGUGAGAGCUUAUCAUGAGGGUUCAUAGCAAACUUUAUUUAUUUAUUUAGCAAACUGAGCAA